CAUCGUCGACACCGACCUGAGUGGCGCAUCGAACGAGGGACCUGCGACGCACCAAGGCUCCACCGACCUCGACCGGGACGCGCUCGAGCUAGGAG
rnacentral:ribozyme from 1 species